rnacentral:tRNA from 1 species
GGGCGUUUGGCAGAGCGGAUUAUGCACCAUGCUCAUAACGUGGUUUAGACUGGUUCAAUUCCAGUAGCGCCCA